rnacentral:lncRNA from 1 species
AAUUUUUUAUCAUAUAAGUUCUUUGCAAUGUUGUAAAGAACUUUCAUCCCCAAAACUCUUCGGGAUUUUAUCCAUGAUUUAUUGAUUUUAGGCAAUGGUUUAUUAUUUCGGCCAACUUCAAUCUGGAAAUCUCGGCCAACAUAUCCAAUUGUGAUAAUAUGUUCAGCAGGAUAGUAUAUCCUUCUAUCAACCUCGGGACUUAUUGAAUAAAAUUUGAUAUAAAUCGAUCUCCCUUGGG